rnacentral:rRNA from 1 species
AGGAUGAACGCUGGCGGCGUGCCUAAUACAUGCAAGUCGAGCGGUAAGGCCACUUCGGUGGUACACGAGCGGCGGACGGCUGAGUAACACGUAGGAACGUACCCCAAAGUGAGGCAUAAGCACCAGAAAUGGUGUCUAAUACCGCAUGUGGCCUAACAGGCUAAAGCUCCGGCGCUUUGGGAACGGCCUGCGCAUGAUUAGCUUGUUGGUGAGGUAAAAGCUCACCAAGGCAGUGAUCAUUAGCUGGUCUGAGAGGAUGACCAGCCAGACUGGGGACUGAGAACGGCCCAGACUCCUACGGGAGGCAGCAGUAGGGAAUUUUUCCACAAUGGGCGAAAGCCUGAUGGAGCAACGCCGCGUGCAGGAUGAAGGCUCUAGGGUCGUAAACUGCUUUUAUCUGUGACGAAUAUGACGGUAGCAGAUGAAUAAGGAUCGGCUAACGUCCGUAGUCAGCAGCCGC